UGGUGAGGGGACUGAGCCAGCCACAUCUCUGCAUUGUUGCAGCAGCAUCAGGGGAUGAGUCUCUAUUGAGAAGGGAAGGAGGCGCAGGCUUUCCCAUGGCCGGCACGAUUAGACGCGUAGAGUCGAUUGAAGCUGCAGCAGCAGAGGACCACUGAUCAGGGAUAACGACUGACAGGAUGGACUGAAUAAUCAGGGCAAGUCAUUGUGUGAAGUCUCUUGGUAGCAGAUGGUGAUCCUAUUGACUUUCCAAUCAAAACUGGACAACAGCACUUCUUAAUGAUGCCGGCUUCCAACUGGCAUUUAGACAACGCGAGAGUGCGAAUGUCAAGAGGAAGAGUUUGCUUAAAGAUACAGAUGAUUUAAGUCAUUGAUGUGUGCCAAAGUCAUUGUUUAGAAAUACAAGGAACAUUCCCUUAAAAGUAUGUGCAGUUUUCUUGCAGAAAUGUAAUUUCUAAAAUUAUAACUACAUUAUUACAAGCACCCUUCUCUGCAAUGUUUGUAGGGACAAAACUUCAAGAAAUGUUACAGGUGGUUUCCUAAUAAUUAUAAUACAAAACUGUUUGCAAGUUCCUGACAAAGGGGCGAUUUUACUAAAGUGUGAAAUUGAGCUUUCCUGAGGGAAAUUCCACUGCUAUCUAUUCAUUUGUAUGGGAUUUUCUAUUCAUUUGUAUGGGAUUUUCAAAGGCAUAUUUAACAAAAAAGUAUCAAAGAGUUGGCCCUUUUAUAAAUUUGUUCCUAGAAAAGUGACUAGCUGGCAGCAGGAUUUCUCAGUGGCAAGCUCUAUUUCAACUUUUAAAGGAGAACUAAACCCUAAAAAUGAAAAUGGCUAUAAAUGCCAUAUUUGAUAUACAGAACUUAUUGCACCAGCC